CCUGUCUGCAGAGGCAGUUUUGAAUUUAGGAGCGGCAAGAUGGCAGCGGCAAACCCUGGCGGUUCUCCGGGUUCGUGGCAACCACGGAUGGGAAAAUGUGGAGGUUGCACGGCUGAUGUUUACUGUUCGUGGCACAGGAAGAGGCAGUUUCAUUUCAGGAAUGAGUGUGCACAAUCAAAGAAUAGAGCGACUGUGGAGAGACCUCUGGGUGGCCGUUACAUGCAUUUACUACGAUGUUCUUCACAACCUUGAGGAAGAGGGCCUUCUUGACAUUUCAAAUGCUGCACACCUCUUUUGCUGCCAUUACAUCUUUC